AAUUGCUUGCUUAACUAUUAUCCGCGAAUUCUUUAGUUGCAAGCAUACUCAAUCAAGUCACAUUCUAUACAUCAAACUGUCGCUAAGUUUAACUUUCACUGCGCAUAUAUACAACUUAGCAUAAUUAAUCAAAAAGUUUUAGAAGUAGCAUAAAAGUUUUAAAAGACCCAAUUCACCCCCCCCCUCUUGGGUUGUAUCUACUGGGC
rnacentral:lncRNA from 1 species